rnacentral:rRNA from 1 species
CACGUAGGGCGCAAGCGUUGUCCGGAAUUAUUGGGCGUAAAGAGCUCGUAGGCGGUCUGUUACGUCUGCUGUGAAAACCCGGGGCUUAACCCUGGGCUUGCAGUGGAUACGGGCAGACUAGAGGCAGGUAGGGGAGAAUGGAAUUCCCGGUGUAGCGGUGAAAUGCGCAGAUAUCGGGAGGAACACCGGUGGCGAAGGCGGUUCUCUGGGCCUGACCUGACGCUGAGGAGCGAAAGCCAGGGGAGCAAACGGG